rnacentral:siRNA from 1 species
CGAAGACGAUCAGAUACCGUCCU